CAAAUUAUGCGAUUUUGUGUCAUUAUUCUGUCGCCAAACGAUGCGCGCCUCACUUGGCAAUUGCCAGACUUUUAUGCUCUUAUUUGGGCCUGAUUUCCUUGACUGUGUGGCUUGGACAUAAAAAGCGUUUCCAACAAAAUGUGUUCUUUAUUGACAUUUAGAGGCGUCGCCGAUUUGCGCAACGUCAACGAGUUGAAUCGUGGCCUGAAGCCCUGUCAAAAAGCCCUCGCUGCCAUUUGGGGGAUUUACCAAUAAAUUCGUUCUAGUGAAAAUUUAUUGGCAUUGCUUUUUAAACCGCGACGCGUGCUGGCAAACGAUUUUAUGGCUCCUGAUGUAUCGGAAAUUGGCAUUGAGCUGUGGCAUAACUGACCUUUAAAGAAAUAUCUUAAAUGCUUAGCAGCAAGAGUCAAGUCGAUAUGGAAAUUGAGCAUAUCAAAAUGUUUUCAAUACUUGCUGAGAUAAUACAAAUCGCUUUUGGAUGCUGUGAAUGCAGGCUGGUACAGACAAUCUUGGGUCUGUUCGUUUACGAUUUAAAUGCGCACAUUUUGUGGCAUAUGUUGAAGAGCAAAGCGAGGAAAUGCAAAAACCAUAUGCCCCGCAGCGCUCGAUGGCCACAAAAGCCACCGCGGAUUCACCAAAAGCAGAAUGACAUAAUGCUAUAGCACGCCGCCAGCUACACAGCGAGCCAAUGAGUUACUUAUCACACAAAGAGGCCGCUGAGUGCCAGAAAGGAUGAGCUGCGCAAAGGACACUGUCAUUGAUUAUCGGCGCGUUAUCUGCUGCUGCUGCUGCUGAUGCCAGGGAUGCCGCGGCGUUGCAUGUGUUCAGCAAACCGCGAAAUGGAUUCCAUAGAUCAAGCGGGCAGCGAGAAAAAAAAAAUAGAAGAAGACUGAAUCAACUUGCAUUGAUAAAUUAAAAGCAGCCCAAAUGUU